rnacentral:rRNA from 1 species
GACGAACGCUGGCGGCGUGCUUAACACAUGCAAGUCGAACGAUGAAGCCUAGCUUGCUAGGUGGAUUAGUGGCGAACGGGUGAGUAAUACGUGAGUGACCUACCUUUGACCCUGGGAUAAGCCUGGGAAACUGGGUCUAAUACCGGAUACGACCAAUCUCCGCAUGGGGUGUUGGUGGAAAGCGUUAUGGAGUGGUUUUAGAUGGGCUCACGGCCUAUCAGCUUGUUGGUGAGGUAAUGGCUUACCAAGGCGACGACGGGUAGCCGGCCUGAGAGGGUGACCGGCCACACUGGGACUGAGACACGGCCCAGACUCCUACGGGAGGCAGCAGUGGGGAAUAUUGCACAAUGGGCGCAAGCCUGAUGCAGCGACGCCGCGUGAGGGAUGACGGCCUUCGGGUUGUAAACCUCUGUUAGCAUCGAAGAAGCGAAAGUGACGGUAGGUGCAGAGAAAGCGCCGGCUAACUACGUGCCAGCAGCCGCGGUAAUACGUAGGGCGCGAGCGUUGUCCGGAAUUAUUGGGCGUAAAGAGCUUGUAGGCGGUUGGUCGCGUCUGCUGUGAAAGGCUGGGGCUUAACCCUGGUUUUGCAGUGGGUACGGGCUAACUAGAGUGCAGUAGGGGAGACUGGAAUUCCUGGUGUAGCGGUGGAAUGCGCAGAUAUCAGGAGGAACACCGAUGGCGAAGGCAGGUCUCUGGGCUGUAACUGACGCUGAGAAGCGAAAGCAUGGGGGAGCGAACAGG